rnacentral:rRNA from 1 species
CCCUUAGAUGUUCUGGGCCGCACGCGCGCUACAAUGAUGAAUUCAACGAGUUUAUGACCUUGGUUGAAAAGCCUGGGUAAUCUUUUGAACUUUCGUCGUGAUGGGGCUAGACCCUUGCAAUUAUUGGUCUCCAACGAGGAAUUCCUAGUAAACGCAAGUCAUCAGCUUGCAUUGAUUACGUCCCUGCCCUUUGUACACACCGCCCGUCGCACCUACCGAUUGAAUGGUCCGGUGAAAUCUUCGGAUUGAGACUUUGUUUUCUUCACGGAAAACGCUGUUUUAAAAAGUUGAUUAAACCUUACCAUUUAGAGGAAGGUGAAGUCGUAACA